CCACUCCCUCUAACAUGUAAACUCACUGAGCAGGCCCUCAAUCCCUCUGUUACUGUGUCACUAUACCCCACUCCCUCUAACAUGUAAACUCACUGAGCAGGGCCCUCAAUCCCUUUGUUACUGUGUCACUAUACCCCACUCCCUCUAACAUGUAAACUCACUGAGCAGGGCCCUCAAUCCCUCUGUUACUGUGUCACUAUACCCCACUCCCUCUAGCAUGUAAGCUCAUUGAGCAGGGCCCUCAACCCCUCUGUUCCUG